GACGAACGCUGGCGGCGUGCUUAACACAUGCAAGUCGAACGGAAAGGCCCUGCUUUUGUGGGGUGCUCGAGUGGCGAACGGGUGAGUAACACGUGAGUAACCUGCCCUUGACUUUGGGAUAACUUCAGGAAACUGGGGCUAAUACCGGAUAGGAGCUCCUGCUGCAUGGUGGGGGUUGGAAAGUUUCGGCGGUUGGGGAUGGACUCGCGGCUUAUCAGCUUGUUGGUGGGGUAGUGGCUUACCAAGGCUUUGACGGGUAGCCGGCCUGAGAGGGUGACCGGCCACAUUGGGACUGAGAUACGGCCCAGACUCCUACGGGAGGCAGCAGUGGGAAAUAUUGCACAAUGGGCGGGAGCCUGAUGCAGCAACGCCGCGUGCGGGAUGACGGCCUUCGGGUUAUAAACCGCUUUCGCCUGUGACGAAGCGUGAGUGACGGUAAUGAGUAAAGAAGCACCGGCUAACUACGUG
rnacentral:rRNA from 1 species